UUGCCAAUGACGUCUAAUACUUGACACGAGCUCAGGCGGGAUUGGUCGUUAGACGGAAAGAAUUUCGGACAAGGAGGGACUAGCGGCCUAUGAGCUAGUUAGUGACGUAAAGUCCCGCCAAGGCGAGGACGGGUAGCAGUCCCGAGAGGGUGGCCGGGCACAUUGGGAGUGAGACUUGGGCCAGAAUCGUCAGGGUGGCAUCAUUGGGGAAUAAAGCAGAAUGGGAGCAAGCGGGAGGCAGCCAUGCCGCGGGAGUGAUGCCUGCGGCCUGCGUGUAAACUUCAAUAAUCAGCGAAGAAGCCAACGGGAGGGUUCUUGCAGAAAAAGCACUGGCAAAGUGGGCGGUAGCCGCUGAGGCAGGCGUCGGGUGCUAGCGUUGUCGGACAUUACCUGCGCAAAGAGCUGGUAGGCGGUGAGUCGAUUCUUGUGCGAAAAUCUUUGGAUCAAACUAGCACGUGGUGUGAGUUCGGGUAAAGUAGAGUGCGGUGGUGGCGAUGGGAAUUCCAGGGGUAAGGGCAGGAUGCGCAGAUGUUAGUCGGCACUUCAACGGUGAAGCCGGAUGUGCAAGCUGCCGCCUUCGUUGAUGAGCG
rnacentral:rRNA from 1 species